AGAACAAAAAUCGAAGCCGUCGCUCUUUACGAAAUAUUAUUAUAUUUUGUUUGGGUGAUCGCGUCGGAAUUGAGCCGUCUUUCAUAUGUUAAUUCAUGUCAAAGUGGCUUAAAAUUCAUCAAUCUGGUACGAUUUAAAGCGUAUUUAAGAUCAACCUUGAUUAAGAACGCGCGAUGACGUACCAUCUCAUGUAGUACGUUCGACCUGCUUGUCAGGCUCAUUCGUAUACGACAUUCAAC
rnacentral:misc_RNA from 1 species